AAACGUAGGAGACGAGCGUUAUCCGGAUUUACUGGGCGUAAAGCGCAUGCAGGCGGCAUGGCAAGUUGGAUGUGAAAGCUCCCGGCUUAACUGGGAGAGGUCGUUCAAAACUGCCAGGCUUGAGAGUGGUAGAGGGAAGCGGAAUUCCGGGUGUAGUGGUGAAAUGCGUAGAUAUCCGGAGGAACACCAGUGGCGAAAGCGGCUUCCUGGCCCAUUUCUGACGCUCAGACGCGAAAGCUAGGGUAGCAAACGGGAUUAGAGACCCCGGUAGUCCUAGCCGUAAACGAUGUGAACUAGGCGUUGGUGGGUUCAAAUCCAUCAGUGCCGCAGCAAACGCGAUAAGUUCACCGCCUGGGGACUACGGCCGCAAGGUUAAA
rnacentral:rRNA from 1 species